UGAAUAAUGCAUCUGACGUUUGGGAUGACGUCACGACGCACGUAUUUUGAUUUUUACCAGUAGUUCAAGACAGACGGAUUCAGUCCCAAGAAGCUAAAGUUUUUCCAAAGACAUUUGUAGGGAGGACUUUGCAGCUAAUGAUUUCCUACGGCUGAACCAAAACCUGCCAGACAAGUUGAUUUGGGAGAGAAAGACGUUGUAAACUUUAGGGCUGCACGAUAAAUUGCAUGCGAUACCACGCGCAUCACGUCAGUAAUGCCGGUUCCUUGAUUAGUAUUAAAUCGCCAUCAGCUGUUUUCGGAUGGAGCAGCUUUAACUACACAGAGCCUUGUGCUGCGUCCGAAAUCGCCUACUACCAUACUAUAUAGUAUGCAAAAAGCACUACUUUGCCUACUAUAUAGUAUGGAAGUAGGCGGUUUCGGACGCAGCGUUAGUUCCCUGAAAAGCUGGGCCAUAUCGCGGCGAUACGUCCGCGAUAAUUAAUGCGAAAUUGCCCCGAUUGUCAGUGAACUACGGCUCUGUGUAGUUAAAGCUGCUCCAUCUGAAAACAGCUGAUGGCGAUUUAAUACUAAUCAAGGAACCGGCAUUACUGAGGAGAUGCGCCUGACAAACACAUGCGAUUUAUCGUGCAGCCCUAAACUUAAUCAUCUUGACAUUCUUCAAUGAGUAAUUGUUCAAUUUUUAGGCAAAUACUGUACACUUUGAAUGCUGUGAAUAAAACUAUAUUUUAAAUAUAUUUAAAAUGAA